CGAGAGCCUUCCCCUAUUGCGUCCCGCCUGCAAGCCGUGCGCGCUGCGUCCGUGGCGGGGCUCUGGGGACUGACGUGGGCGGAGUAAUAGCAACAGCGAGAACGCCCCCCGCCCGGUUCUCUCCGGGUGACCUUCCCGAUCUAUAAUUUAUAUAUCUAGAGGGAAAUGGACAAGACAGGAGGGCCUGCACUUGAUGCUGCUUGUAACAUCAAGCCUAACAAGGGGGGAUACGUGAAGCUUACGAGGGAACUGUGGAUGGACUGAAGACUCUAAUGUGAAGAGGAAGCUGCAUCACAACUACACCUUCCAUCUCAUGCUCGAGAAGACCUGGAAGAACAACUGGAUGUGCAGCAACCCCUUGAAGCUGAAAUGUCCUUAUCUCCUCUUCAUUACAGAGCACAGCUACUAAGGCAUAAGGUCAGGGAUAGGCUAGCUACAAUUGAUCAAGACUCAUUGCAGAGGCUUGACAGCAAAGUCAAGCCAUCAGAUAGCACACUAGAAGAUGACAGUAGAGCCCUUGCAACAAUCCCUACUACCAUGAUACAGAACUACAAUUUGACCUAAAGUUCAACCCUUCAGGAGGGCAUUGCCACUGGGAAGCCACAAGGUAUGGAGCUAUGGAAAAUAAAAAUUAAUUGCAUAUGAGAAGUAAUUUUGCUUUUUGAAGGGUAGAAGAAGGGAUUGUAUGUGCUCCAGUUUUUGGCAAACAAUAGCAAGAUGGGACAGGUAGUCCAAGGACGUGGCUUUUGUUUGCCCAGUUUUGUCCAAAGUGAGUUGAAGUUAGGAAAGACAGGAGAUUCCUUCCCUUGCUGCCCAGAAUGCCAGAAGCAGCUUGCCCACUGCUCAAGCACACAAAAAUAAAAAGCUGGUGUCUUGAAGCAACCGGAGGCGUGAGUCUUUGCAAGGUCAGGCUUGCAAUUUGCUCAUUUCCCCCAGUCCCAGCUGCAUUCCCUGAUCUAGUGGUUGUGGGCCAGGCAGGAUGAUGGGGCCAGUCCCUGAACACCUGCUGGCUGAGACCUUGAGCAUUUUGGUUAAGACACUGAAGAAGGGAGGUUGUGCUCCCUGAGUUUCCUACCUGGAAUGCAGCUGGGUGUGUGCGCGCUCUGCCCUGCUGGCUGUUAGGAAGAAACACACAGAAAGAGAUAAGUUGUCCUUUUGAACUUUUUUUGCUGCUUUCACUGAGAUUUAGAUUUUUCAUUUUAGGAAGAUGGGGGAGGGAAGGGGACAUAGUGGGAAGUUGCAAUUCAGCCAAUACACAGGAAAGAGUUGGGGUGGGUGGUGGGUGGAUGGACGAUUGACCGCCUCUCUCUAAAGACUGCUGUCUUGGUGGGAGAUAGCAGGAUGGACCCUUUGAAUCUUCCCAGAACUUCCUGGUCUGUGGAAAAGGCCUUUUCUAGCGUGGCUCCAGGGCUGUGCAGCAGAAUCCUCAGGUGUUGCUCGUGGCCGUCACUUUCCAGGAUUUUAGGAACAAAGUAAAAACGCAUCUCUUGCUGAAUUUUUGAUUUCUGAAUCAGAAAUUUUUAAUGAAUUUUAAUUAAUGUGUAAUUUUAAAUGAAUUUUAAUUGUGUUAAUGUUACAGAUUAUAUGUAACUUUUUUUGAGACACCUUGAUGAGUAGAUGAAACAAAAGCUGACUAGAUAUAAACUAACUUAGAAACAAAUACCAAAUGUAAAAUUAUAAAUAACGAUAAACAAAGAUUACACAUUAAACCUUAGGAAUAAACAUAGCUGUAACCUAAACUUUGAAAAUCACUGUAAGGUUAAUUGCUGACCACAGUUAUACCAUAAGCCACAUGGAAGAAUAGCUGUAAUAGCGUAUGCUCGCAACACCAGUACAUUUGUUUUUUUAAUUCAUCAAGAUGCUUAGUUUGAUAAAAACAAUUCCAAAUGAAAAUUGGAACAUAGACAUUAGUUCAAAUUAAACAUCGAGAUAAGUUUCAGAUUGAAGCUCGGUUAAAGAGAUGCACGAUUAUCCUAUUCUUAAAUCCUCCAAUGGUUGGCCGAAGAGCGGUUCUCCAGUGUUGCAAUUUAGUUAGCCAUAUGGAUUUCAUCUGAGAGAUUGCCUACAUGUAGAUUAGCGUGGGAAACCUCAGCUAAUUGAAUCACGUACAAAAGAAGUAAGCAGAAACUUGUUUGAUCACAUCAAAGCAGCAGGAUGUUUUACCUCUAACGGUAGUGUGAAAAUACAUCAACAGUUUUGUGAUUACAUCCCUCUUCCUUCCCCUGAUAAGAUCUCUAUCACAAAGAUCUUAGAAGUUCCUCUCACAGUUAUGUGAAGAUCAAUUAGUAUGUAAGGUCAGGAUGUCACAGGAUGCAUUGCCAUGUUUUCUAUGUGAUUGAUAUACAAGAUUCUGUUUGAUGUGUAUGCCUUCUGAUGUCAUUGUCUUUGAUGCAAAUGCCUUCCUGUAAAAAUCCUAAUAAAAGAGAGGCCAAAACUUUGUUCUGAGCACUCUCAUCCCGGUGAGAA